rnacentral:rRNA from 1 species
AGAGUUUGAUCCUGGCUCAGGGCGAACGCUGGCGGCGUGCUUAACACAUGCAAGUUGAACGGUAUGUCAUGGAAGCUUGCUGAAGUGACAUAUAGUAGCGAACGGGUGAGUAAUGCAUGAGAAUUUAUCCUUAGGAGGGGGACAACAGCUGGAAACGGCUGCUAAUACCCCGUAUGCCGGAAGGUGAAAGGUGCGUAAGUGCCGCCUGGGGUUGAGCUCAUGUCCUAUCAGCUAGUUGGCGGGGUAACGGCCCACCAAGGCAUACGGCUAGCUGGUCUGAGAGGACGACCAGCCGCACUGGGACUGAGACACUGCCCAGACUCCUACGGGAGGCUGCAGUCGAGGAUCAUUCGCAAUGGGCGCAAGCCUGACGAUGCGACGCUGCGUGGAGGACGAAGGCCUUCGGGUUGUAAACUCCUGUCAUGGGGGAAAAAGGUCCCGCCGGUGAACAAUCGGCGGGCUCGAUGGUACCCCAAGGGGAAGCCACGGCUAACUCUGUGCCAGCAGCCGCGGUAAUACAGAGGUGGCGAGCGUUGUUCGGAUUUACUGGGCGUAAAGGGCGCGUAGGCGGCCCCGUGUGUCGCGUGUGAAAGCCCCGGGCUCAACCCGGGAAGUGCGCGCGAAACUGCGGGGCUCGAGCGGAGGAAGGGAGAGCGGAAUUCAUGGUGUAGCGGUGAAAUGCGUUGAUAUCAUGAGGAACACCGGUGGCGAAGGCGGCUCUCUGGAAUCCUGCUGACGCUGAGGCGCGAAAGCCGGGGGAGCAAACAAAAGUCGAUNCCCUGGUNGUCCCGNCCCUNNNUCCCCCAUAAUGGGCGUGGGGGGGUAUUCACCCCCCCCCGCGCCGAAGCUAAAAUGUUAAGUGUGCCGCCUGGGGAGUACGGCCGCAAGGGUAAAACUCAAAGAAAUUGACGAGGGGCCGCACAAGCGGAGGAGCAUGUGGCUUAAUUUGAUGCAACGCGAAGAACCUUACCCGGGUUUGACAUGUGACUGCACGUCCCGUGAAAGCGGGAUUCCUUCGAGGGUGUCACACAGGUGCUGCAUGGCUGUCGUCAGUUCGUGCCGUGAGGUGUUUGGUUAAGUCCAGCAACGAACGCAACCCCUGUGGCCAGUUGCCAGCGCGUAAUGGCGGGAACUCUGGCCAGACUGCCUGUUUACACAGGAGGAAGGUGGGGAGGACGUCAAGUCAGUAUGGCCCUUACAUCCGGGGGUGCACACGUGCUACAAUGGCCGGUACAAAGGGACGCAAGACCGCGAGGUGGAGCAAACCCCCAGAGCCGGCCCCAGUUCAGAUUGCGGUCUGCAACCCGACCGCACGAAGUCGGAUUCGCUAGUAACGGCGCAUCAGCUACGGCGCCGUGAA